CGUCUAGGUGGCCCGCCAAGUCAGGUGUGAAAUCCCUCGGCUCAACCGAGGAACUGCAUUUGAAACUGGCGAGCUUGAGUACUGUAGAGGGUAGCGGAAUUCCUGGUGUAGAGGUGAAAUUCGUAGAUAUCAGGAGGAACACCAGUGGCGAAGGCGGCUACCUGGCCAGAUACUGACACUAAAGCGCGAAAGCAUGGGGAGCAAACAGGAUUAGAUACCCUGGUAGUCC
rnacentral:rRNA from 1 species